GACGAACGCUGGCGGCGUGCUUAACACAUGCAAGUCGAACGGAAAGGCCCUGCUUUUGUGGGGUGCUCGAGUGGCGAACGGGUGAGUAACACGUGAGUAACCUGCCCUUGACUUUGGGAUAACUUCAGGAAACUGGGGCUAAUACCGGAUAGGAGCUCCUGCUGCAUGGUGGGGGUUGGAAAGUUUCGGCGGUUGGGGAUGGACUCGCGGCUUAUCAGCUUGUUGGUGGGGUAGUGGCUUACCAAGGCUUUGACGGGUAGCCGGCCUUGGAGGGUGACCGGCCACAUUGGGACUGAGAUACGGCCCAGACUCCUACGGGAGGCAGCAGUGGGGAAUAUUGCACAAUGGGCGGAAGCCUGAUGCAGCGACGCCGCGUGCGGGAUGACGGCCUUCGGGUUGUAAACCGCUUUCGCCUGUAACGAAGCGUGAUUGACGGUAAUGGGUAAAGAAGCACCGGCUAACUACGUG
rnacentral:rRNA from 1 species